rnacentral:rRNA from 1 species
UACAGAGGGUGCGAGCGUUAAUCGGAAUUACUGGGCGUAAAGCGCGCGUAGGCGGCUUUGCAAGUCGGGUGUGAAAUCUCGGGGCUUAACUCCGAAACUGCAUUCGAUACUGCCGUGCUUGAGGACUGGAGAGGAGACUGGAAUUUACGGUGUAGCGGUGAAAUGCGUAGAUAUCGUAAGGAAGACCAGUGGCGAAGGCGGGUCUCUGGACAGUUCCUGACGCUGAGGCACGAAGGCCAGGGGAGCAAACGGG